GCGUUCGAUUUGGCGGUGUUGACAUGCGGUGAUGGAGGUGAGGGCGGAGCUCCGGAAAGCUUCGAGUCAUGACGGAUUGUUGUUGUACGGCGAUGAUCGAAUCUGAGCUCGCAAAUUAGCGAUAGGAGAGAUGCAGACAUCAUCGACUCGAGUCAGAAACAAAGAAAAAGUCAGAUCAUAAGUCAGUAAGUUCCCGAUCAAGAAGCAUGAGAGAUAAUGAUGUAAUCUUAAACCAAGAUGAUUAAUGCAUUGAUUCAACCAA